CAGCUCGGGAGCAACUUUCCCGCAGGUUGGGUGCGCUGGCGGGGGCUGCCGCGAGCAAGGUGGAGAGCAGGCAGGCAGAACAAAGAGCCCCUGGCACAGGGGGUCCCGGCCGCGCUCGCCGAAGUUGGGACUCCCCUCCCCAAAGUGCUCCUGUGUGCAUCUGCAGGUUGGAGCAGUUGGUAGAAAAUGAAAAGAAAAAAUAUUAACUAAUCCAUGAAAAUCAUCCCGGAUUCUAAUUCUUCUUGGUGCCAUCUGUGUGUGCUGAAGAUUUCAGAAAAAAAGUUCCCAUCGUGUGAAAUAUGCCCUUUUAUACAGUUAGAAGUCCUUCCUUUUGAUCCAAUGGCUCAUUCAAACCUCAGGCUAUGGUGACAGCUUCCUUAGAAACGCACAAAAGUCAUGGGACUUUUCACAAAAGAGACUGAACAAGAGUCGGACUGGAAGGAAGACAGCACCUCGGGGAAGUAAUUAAAAAGGAAGAAGUUUCUCUUUGGAAGCAGGGCAGGGUUGCACCGGUGUGACGCUGCUGGCUGGGAAGGCAGGCAUUCUGGGUGGCACAAAGGCCAACCCCCAGUGACCCCCACACAGCCCCCGGGGGCCCUGGUCCACAGGCACCUGGUGCCUGCUUCCCGCCUCUGGCAAGAAGACUGCUCAGUGUGUCAGCCUCAAGGUUUAAAAAGCCGACAAGCUAAAACCAAACCGCCCGAAGAAACUCCAGCAAGCAGGAGUGGGCUGGCGAGGCGAUGACACAGUCUCAGCGAUCAAGAAUGACAAGUAGGUUUUAGGCUGGCAUGGCGCACAGCCAGAAUGAUCACACCCCUGCUAAUCCCUUCUCCUUGGUGGCAAGGGGAGAAAGGUGGGACGGUCUCCAUCAGCCCUACCUUGCUGCCCACCCAGAGACCUCGCACCUUGCUGUUUUCAAGGCACAGUCACACUGGGCUGGUUUGUUUCAGUCCCCUUGGAUGGGAGCACUUCCCACCUGCCUCUGGUGUCCUGUACCUGCUGUUUCUGCUUCCUCCCUUUCACCUGGCUUCCUCCUCCUCAGCCCUCAAGCUUCAGCUGAAACACCACUUCCUCCCGGCUUUCCCUAGCAGCCUCCCGCUGAGUAGAUGGAUGAGCCCACUAAUUGCACUCCCAAAUCACGCAACCACUCCCAUUUCACAACAGUCAGCGCACCAGAUUUCAGGUCCAUUCUGCCUGGUGAGCAGUGUGUCCCUGAUGUCCAGCACAACCAGGGCCUCUGGAAAUAGAACCGUCCUGCCUGAGGUCCCCUUCUGACCGCAGCUGUGCACCGAUGAAUGAGUAAACUUACACAAGCCAGGAGUUGCUGGCUUUUCAGUCACUCAAGCUGAAGAUGGGGAUUGGCGGAAGGGUUAUUAUAUAGAAAGCAGGAGUUUGCCCUCAAUGAGACAUUGUGUUUAUACAGGAAUUUCUUUUCCUUCUUAGGGCAUUUGCUAAAGCUCACUAUCUGGUUUCAAUAGUACUGGGCAAUACUCAACCUAAAGUCAUUUAUAUGCCUUCCCAACUCCCUUCUCUCCAUGUCUUUCCAGUGUGGGUAUGAAUCCUCCAAGCUGAACUGCUUCAUUUCUCCUGAAGAGUCUCCUCUACCUGGGGGAAUUAUGUAUUAUGUGUAUUAUGAAGGUACCUCAAAACAGUUCAUGGGAAAAUGGAAUUGAAGGAUGUUCAUUUUGGUGUAAAACCAAUUUAAAUCCAUGCACCAUAUUUUCAUAACAUACAUUUCCCCACGAAUUAUCUAAAAACACUUCAUAGAUCUUUAUAAAGCCAAAGAGAAGAAGAGGAAGAAGAAAAAGGAGGAGGAGGGGAGGGAAAAGGGGAGAGGAAGAGGAGGAGGAGGAGAAACCAUCUGUUAGAGGAAAAGCCAGCUAACUGGACCAAUAUGCACAAUACUCCUAGUAUUAUACUAUCUGUGAAUAGACCUGGAAACCUUUUCUGUCAAUCUAACUUCCCAAAUAAUUGCCAGAUCCCCUCUUCAUCUGGAACCACCUCAAGAAAUACAACAGACGUUGAAAGACGUGAGAGAUGGUCAGGGUAAUCUGAAGAUCACAGAAUUGCUGGGUAAAAAACUGGAACUAUAACACAGAUGACCACAGAUGUGAUACUAAUCCUGGCUCCUACCCUGUUUGCUAAAAAGGAGAUGUUUUAUUAUGUUAUGGAAUGUAUAUUAAAAUUCAUCACAGCUCACAGGGUGUGUGUUGUAGGGCAGCAGGUUAAACUACCACUUGGAAUGUCCAGGUCCCAUGUCCAAGUGCCUGGUUCAAAUCCCAGCUCCUCUGAAGUUCUGAUCCAGCUUCCUGUUAAUGCCCCUAGGAGGCAGCAGGUGCUGGCCUGAGUACUUAGGUUUGUACCACCAACAUGGGAGACCUGGAUGGACUUCCUGACUCUUGUCUUCAACCUGGCCCAGCCCUGGCUGUUAUGGGCAUCUGGGGAGUGAACUAGCAGACGGAAGAUUUGUGUGUGUGUGUGUGUGUCCCUUUCUCUGUCAUCCUGCUUUUCAAUACGUAAAUCAAUCCUUUUUUUUUUUUUUUUUUUUGACAGGCAGAGUUAGACAGUGAGAGAGAGACAGAGAGAAAGGUCUUCCUUCCGUUGGUUCACCCCCAAAAUGGCCGCUACGGCUGGCGCUACGCCGAUCUGAAGCCAGGAGCCAGGUGUUUCUCCUGGUCUCCCAUGUGGGUGCAGGGGCCCAAGCACUUGGGCCAUCCUCUAUUGCCUUCCCGGGCCACAGCAGAGAGCUGGCCUGGAAGAGGAGCAACAUGGACAGAACUGGAGCUCCAACUGGGACUAGAACACAGAGUACUGGUGCUGCAGGCAGAGGAUCAGCCUAGUGAGCCGCAGCGCCAGCCAAUCAAUCCUUUUUUUAAAAAAAUGAUCAAAGUUCUGAAAUGUCACCAAGCUUCUCCUUGAGCCAUAUUCCAUGAAUCUUUCAGAGCAACCCCAGAGAAACCGUGAGGAUACUAUGAAGCUCCCAAGACAUAAAAUGUGAGUUGAUUCAUUAAUAAAGUGCCACUCAAGAUGCUUAAGAUUUUGAAAAACUACAACAAAAGACAAAAGUCAAACAAAAGAAGCAGAGCUAUUGAUGGAUGGCUCAACUAUUUGAAUAUUUAAGGAUGGGUGAGUCUGUUGAAGGAACAUCAGAAGAUGACAAUCAUUUGUCGAGUUUUAGGGUGUGCAGAUGAUGUAUUCCAAUAUCAAUAUACUGGGAAACCUGUUUCCUUUGCAUUCUGCUUCUUUUGCUUAUCAGUUUGUAUUAUCUGUGUUGGUGCUUUCAAGAUGCCACACAUGAGUUGGUAUGUUAGAAAUGUUGACCUUGCUCAGUCCACCAACUCCAGUCGCUUUGCCCUGUGGUUUGGGAAAUGUGAACAUAGAUGGUCUUCAUUUGCCACAGCACCCAGGAACUGUGUUGAAAUGCUCUACAUCCAAAAGGCCUGUGGAUGAAUACGCACCCCCCUGAUCGGCCUAGAAUGUUCCUGUCUCCCUGGCUUAGCAAGAACUUAUGUGACAAAUGAGCCUGCCAUUAGCAAACUUGCCACAAGUAAUCACCACACUCCAAAUUUCCACAUUGGAAAUAAGAUUAUUUUAAAAAGAAAAAAAUGGAAAAAGAUGUGUGCCAGAUACUGACCAGAAGAUUCUCACCCAAAAAGCUUCAUAUUCCUGGACACAGAAGUCAACUACGAUUCCUAGCAUCUUAAAUAGAGGCGGAGGCAGGUGACUCGUUCUGGCCAAUGGAGUUUGGGCAGAAAUGAUGUUUUAUAACCUCUAAAGCUGACCCCUAAAACGGAUCAUUUGAUUCUUGUGCCUUUUCUUCCUCCCCUAUUUGCAUGGCAAUAUACUGAUUCCUUCAGAAAUGGCCAAGUCACAAAACCAGCCCCAGUCCCUGAGAGGCUGCUAUAUGGGCAAAAGCAUCUCGAAUUAGCAAGAAGUGAAUUUUCCUAUAAGAAUUCACUGAUAUUUAGAGUUAUUACAGGUAGCAUUAAUGGCUUCAAUUAGCAGUAUAUAAAAAUGAUGACAACAAAUUGUCCUUGAAACAUCUGCACAAUCUGGUCUUCUCUCUUUUGUUUGGGAGCAUCAGCCAUGAUUUUACUGCUAUAAAAGUGUCUGAUUACAACAGCCUGGCUCUGUCUACCUCUACCUUGGUGCACCUGAGCCUUAUAAACUUAUUAGAUCAUGAGGUACAUAAAGGCAAAAGCGCUCUAGAUGAGACUCCUGGGGAAGAAUUACCUUUGUAUUUGUACAUGAACACCUAUGAUUUUCAUUCUCGGAAUACUAUUCUAUGAAGUUUACUUAGCUCAGGUAAUAUUUAUCAUUAUUUAGUCUCUUAUCCACUUGAUAUUCCUAUUUUAAGUUCAAUACUUUAAACUAGUUUGCAUUUGAGCUGAUAUGUUGAUUUGUAUAUGUGCUCACCAUAAAAGCUCACAAAACCUUGAAACUAAAUUAUAUGCAUCAUAAAUGUAAUGCAUAGAAUUCUCAUAUAGUUGUCAGCAGUUGGUAUGGUUUUGAAAUUAAUGGUUUUUGUAUAUACUAAAAUAAGCAGUAUCAUUUGGUCCCAUAAAAUUUGCAUGUUGAUGCUGCAAAACUGAAUCUUUUUUUAACACAAGAAAUCUUAACACAUAUACAUAUAAGC